GUUUUGUCUGGGGCUCGUCCUGCUACAUUUCUUGGUUCCCUGAACAGGAAGCGAGGUAACUGACGGACGGCCAAGGCAGCCCCUUGGGUGGCUUAGGCCUGCCCUGUGGAGCAUCCCUGCGGUGGACUCUGGCCAGCCUGAGUGACGCGAUCCAAAGAGCGCUCCCGGGUAGGAAAUUCCCCGGGUGGAACGCCUCGCCAGAGCAGCACGUAGCAGGCCCCCGAGGAGGAUUAACACACUGGCUGAACACUGGGAAGGAACUGGCACUUGGAGUCCGGACAUCUGAAACUUGCAACCCACUCUCUGUGCUAUGACUUCAUUACUCUUUCCCAGCCCAGCCCUGGGCAAGCCCCUUACGAAGUCUCAGGCUACCUGGAUGACCACCCUUUCUUAUGAUGCUGCAAGGAGGGCAGGUGGGCAGAGCCCCGUGCAUCCUGGGCUCAGGCCAGGGACCCAAGAGCUUGGGAGAAGCUGGUUCUCAGACUGAAGGCCAGAGCCCAGCACCUUGUCACCAUCCCGGGGAGCAUCAUGGCACACAACAACCAGAGCCAAGAGUCACACACCCUCCAGACCACGGUUGUCUGUGAGUUGCUGGGGAACCGGAGCAGCUGGGGACACUGGCACUACAACUGUGAUGGCCAGGACUCCCUUCUUAGCACACUUGAGUCUUUCAACUCCAGCAAAAGCCAGCCAGAACCAAGCAUAGCUGCAGAAGGAGAGAAGGGAAGGAAACAAUCCUUCCUGACCUAGAGCUGCGUCUACCCUCUCCGGAAACACCUGAAAGCUGGGGUGGGACCACGGCCCACCGUAGGUGUGAUAGUAGAGACAGGGUUUCACCAUGUUGGCCAGGCUGGUCUCGAACUGCUGAUCUGAAGUGAUCCGCCCGCCUCAGCCUCCUAAAGUGCUGGGAUUAUAGGCAUGAGCCACCGCUCCCGGCCUCCUCCUAUAUCUCUUGAUCAAACUUCAGGGGAAAACCUGCCAGAUUCCCCAGGAAGGAUGCUUGGAGGUGUGCAGAGAAGUCUACAUUCCCAUGUCAAGCUACAGCUAGAGAGUUGACUCCUCUAUUUGAGAUUGACAGGCCUCGGAAGUCAAAAUAAGUGGUUUCCUAGACCGGGUCGAGAGCAAGUCUCUAUUGGUCCCAACUGAGUUUUUUCAGCUGGUUUUUCAACCAAACAGCACCUCAUCUCCCAGUGAGGGGAAGGGAAGGCUGGGCUGAGAGCAGCAAGGCUGCUCAUCUCACCUCUCCCCACCCAGCCAUGCCAGCCGCCUCACCUGGUGGGGAGAGGUGGGCCUCACCUGGGUCCCCUGGCAGUGCUCUGUGAAGGGUCUUGACAUUGCACUGUAAUAAUAAAGGUGUGUGUGAAGUAUC
rnacentral:lncRNA from 1 species